rnacentral:rRNA from 1 species
GAUGAACGCUAGCGACAGGCUUAACACAUGCAAGUCGAGGGGCAGCGGAGGCGAGAGCUUGCUCUCGCCUGCCGGCGACCGGCGCACGGGUGAGUAACACGUAUGCAACCUGCCCUUUGCAGGGGGAUAACCGGGAGAAAUCCCGACUAAUACCGCAUAACACGUUUUUCCUGCAUGGGAGAGACGUUAAAGGAAGCAAUUCCGGCAAAGGAUGGGCAUGCGGCGCAUUAGCCAGUUGGCGGGGUAACGGCCCACCAAAGCGACGAUGCGUAGGGGUUCUGAGAGGAAGGUCCCCCACAUUGGUACUGAGACACGGACCAAACUCCUACGGGAGGCAGCAGUGAGGAAUAUUGGUCAAUGGGCGGAAGCCUGAACCAGCCAAGUCGCGUGAGGGAAGACGGUCCUAUGGAUUGUAAACCUCUUUUGUCAGGGAGCAAAGCCACCCUUGCGAGGGUGGAAGGAGAGUACC